ACGUGCAAAAUGUAGAACAUUCGGAUCGUUCCAGAUUCUUUCGAUAAAAUGUAAAAAUCCGUUUAAAAAUUUACCGAAAAUAGUUGCACCAAACGUCUGACGUGUUAAUCUCGUGGAGUUCAUUUAAAACCGUGCCGAUCUGUUGCGGAAAAUGUGUGCAAAAAGUGUCUGGCCACUUUAGGAAAGUCAGACUUUUCUUUUACGGCUGCUGAAGAUUACACACACACACAUUCGUUUAUGGUUUGCACUUGCAGUGGGAGACGGGAGUAAAAAGUGAGUGUUUUUGAUUUUUCUCAACCGCGGGAAUCGAGUUCACUGGUGUGGUGAGUGAAAAGUGAGACGCCGCGCUGCAGCAGUAGUAUUUGUGAAGCAUCAGUGUUUGUUUUCCUUUUGCGGUCACGCAGUGUUCUCAGGACGGAAAAGGCGUCGCAAACAGCAAUCAAAAUUCUGCGAUGUAACCAAAACCGUAUCCGUAAUGCUUUUGUUUGGCUUAUCAGUUGAGUGCUAAGUUUUUCAAAAAAAUAUAUAUAUUAUCAAAGAACAGGCAGUUAACAUCGUGCUGUGGUUAAUGACAUUUUUAUCAUUCUUGUUUAUACUUGCACUGCCAACGCUGUUUACAAUCGAGGGGUCAUACAGUAGCUCAAAACUGUCAGAGAGAUUGCAUUAAGCUGAACACACACUCAUAUGAAUUUUGAAGCGAGUCUUGCAAAAAAAAAAGUUAGAAAAUUUUGACUGCCAGUUGCAGCGAUUGUUGGAUCAAACAUAAUUUUCAGUGAAAACUCCGCAUAUUUUAGUUAUUUCAACCUACAUUCGACCGUAAUUCGAGAACCGAAACAGUGAAUUCCAAGCUUCCAGAAGCAAACUAUAUGAAUACGCACACCAUAGCAAGUUCAUGCAUAAUCAUAAUAAGCUCAUCUUGUGCACCGUCGUUUACUGGGUACGCAACAGCACAAGAGGAGAAGUGCAAUACGUGAAGGAGAUUGAAGCGUAUAUUGUCAAAACUGAAGAGACAACUCGUGAUUCUUACAAUCGGAGCAAAACAGACGGUCGAAAAGAUUAGCUUACAUCUUGAAUUUGUUUCGAAGAUGAGUGUGCACUUCACAGUGUCAUCGUGGAAACUUUCGUAAAGAAGAAAUUGAGUGAAAAGCAGCAGCAUUUAUUUCCGGUCAUCGACAUACUUUCAGUCACCAACGCCUAGCGCACAGCAGCAGAUCGAGUAAUAUACGGAACCGCAGGGGGCAACCAUGUCGGUAAAGGUGAUAUUCGAAAUUGGCCACGAGGCAUCGAUCAAGGCACGUACCACUCCGGAAGGCUACACGCACGAUUGGGAACUGUUUGUGAGAGGCAGCGAUGGCGGUGAUAUUAGCCACUUUGUCGACAAGGUGGUUUUUACCCUGCACGAAUCGUUUCCCAAGCCUAAGCGGGUGUUGAAGGAGCCUCCGUACGUGGUGAAGGAGCAAGGAUAUGCCGGGUUUAUUCUGCCAAUUGAUAUCUACUUCAAAAACAAGGGCGAUGAACCGAAGAAGAAGGCAUUUUCCUACGAUCUGGAUUUGCAGUCGUUCAAGCUGCAGAGGGAAGAAUACGUGAUAGCCAAUCCUUCCGAUGAUUUCAAGAGGAAACUGUUGAAAGGUGGUGGAGCGCUAUUAAACAGUGGAAUUUCCUCGUUGGCUACUUCAGUGGAUUACAAAAGUGGUCGCAGCAGUGGAAGCGGUGAGAAAAGCAGCUCAUCACAGGAUAAAAAGUACAAGAAAAGCUCCGGAGAUGAUUCGAAAGUUCAGAGCGCAUUUGCAAACUUGUUCGGGCCAUCAAUAACCAAGGGUAGUAGCAAGGUAUCGCCUGAUCCCGCCGCCAAGCAAAGCUCAUCGUCGUCCAGCAAAACAUCGCCCAAUGUUGGGGGCAGUGUUAGCAGCAGCAGUAGUAAAAAUCAACAGGUGAGCUCGAAAGGUGAUCGCUCCAGUACAAGUUCUUCGAAAGACAAGGACAAGAGCGACAAAGACAAGUCGUCAAAACACAAACAUUCGAGCCCUAACAAAGAGAAAGAAUCUAAAAAAUCGUCAUCCAGUGAAGAUAAGCAUAGCAAGGAAAAGAAAGACAAAAGCCAUUCCAAAGAACGGGACAAAGCUAAAGAGAAAAGUUCUAGUUCGUCGUCUUCCUUUUCGAAGAGACCACUAAGCCCAAAACGGAACAGCUCUGGGACGAUUUCCGGUUCAACGUUGACUGCCGGUUCGACAUCGACGGCAAAAAGGCAUCCAUCACCUUCUGUACCACCGCCAGUAGUGGUACCACCAAGCGUCAGUUCCAAGCCGGAGGAAAAACCCGCAAGUAAACAUAGUGGUGAAAAAGAAAAGAAAAAGGAAAAGAAAGACAAGAAAAACUACGACAAAGAUAAAGAGCGUAGUGAGAAAAAGGAUCGUGAGCAAAAGAAAGACAAAGAUCAAGAGAAAAGUAGCAGCUCUACUUCCGAUAAACCAAAAUCGGAUAUCAUAAAACCGAGCAAACUGGAUACUGUUAAGCUCGACCAGAAACUGUACUCGAAGGAGAAGAAAAUCUCGGAAGAGCCGCCUAAAUCAGCCCACAUAGAAGUUCCCCAGUUGCAGCAAACCGCAGUACCCACUCCAGUGCAGGAACCUCUCAAGCGGGUUGAGAAGCCGGAUGCUAAAGAAAAGGACAAGGAAGAACGAAAGCACAAACACAAGAAGAAAGAUAAAUCCAAAGAUAAGGAGAAAGAACGGUCUUCCAGUAGCAAGGAUAAGAAGGAAAAGAAGGACAAAGAAAAGUCCUCCAACAGUAAGCCAAGCUUCCCAACUCCUCCAGUUAGGGAACCGGAAGUGCUGUCUCCUAUAAAACCGGCAAAAUUGUCGGAUCCUACGAAAUCUCUUCAACCCGAAAGAGAAGCGCAAGCGGCACCACCACCACCUCCUCCUCCUCCGCCGCCUCCUAAGACUAAUCCGCUAAGUUCAAUGGUAGAAGAACUUAGUGGUGACAAUAGUAGCGACUCCGAAGCGGACAGUCCUCCAUCAAUAAUCCAAGACAAAGAUUCGGAAAAUUCAAACAGCAGUAUAGCAGACUUACUAACAGCAAGACCUCCAUCGGCUGCGUCCUCCAGUACUUCAUCCAGUAUUACGAAACAACCGGAACCAAGGCACGUUCCCGAACCUCCUCCACCGGUCGUAGAACCGCCGAAGCCGGAGAAGACUCACCAUAAGAACAAAAAGGAAAAGCUGAAAAAUGCCUCAUCCGACGGCAAAGAGGAAGGUAAGAAGCGAAAACGGAAAAACAAGGAUGCCGAGGGCGAAAAGGAAAAAGAAAAAAAAUCCUCAACACCCACCAUUCCUGCAAUCCGAAGGAGUCCGUCACCUCCAACGCCCCCACCAACCCUGAUGGAGCCACCAGUAAAGAUCCCCAAACGAGAUGACACCUACAACAAGCGUGAGGAGUCACCAGCAUCGAACAACAACAACCACUCGAAAAUGCUUCCCCCAGAGGACGUCGGCACAACCUCAUCCUACUACAAUAACAACAAUGCUUCCGUUGUUCCGAUGGUAACGCCGGCGCAGCUCCUGCCACCGACAUCGUCCCAGCCGAACAACAACAACAGUUCCAGUGCGACUACGAUGACAAAUCUGUCCGGCGAUUACAUGUCGGAGCUAAAGGAUCUGCAGCACAAAAUUAUGACCCUGCAGGACAACAACGAACUGCAGCGGGUCGUCGAGAUGAUAGCAGCCACCGGAUGCUAUGAAAUUACUAGCGCAACAUUUGACUUCGAUCUGUGCGCUCUGGACCGGCACACGGUCCAACGGUUGCAAGACUUCUUCGCCACGUCCUGUUCGUCUUGACAGUAAGUUGUUUCCUUCCCCGUCUACAAAAUUUGCAAAAUCCCGAAUUUUAAUCCCGGAUUUAUUUUACUAUUUAAAAAAACAGAACACUCAACCGAAGAUUUCCUUCGUUUUAUCCUAUUUGUAUAAGUUAUUGUGCUUUAAAUUAUAGUUUUAUUUAUUUCCGUAUAUUUUUUUUCGGAUUUGUUAAAAGUUUUUACGACAAAGACUUUUCUCCCCGGCGUAUUCGUGUUUUAACCGAAAAAAAAAAUGGGAAAGAGUCAAAAUCUGUACUCAUUGUAGAAAUUUGGUAGAUUGCACACUUGAAAGCAUUAUAGAAAUUGUACAAAAUAAAAACUGAAGAUUUAGGAAAAGCGUCUCGUACACUUUCCACAAGGCUGGUGUUUGUGUUUGCGUGUCAGUCAGUUAUACAGCCCCGGCUGCCAGUCGUCGUCGGGAGGAACUUUUGUAGAUAUACCAUCAUUAAACAACCUCCCGCCACCCAUCAUAAGGUAGCAGUGGGCUUACAAUACGUUUAUUGCAGACGUGGACAGUGGAUUGAGUGGCAAACAGAUGACAAAUGAAAAUCAACAGGACACAGGUGGCAUUAUUAGGUGAUAAGUAAUCGUAAACGCUCUGUCUAAAUCAUUGCACACGAAAUCGUAAAAAAAAACUAGAUACUCGACGUUUAAUUCCAACAUGGUUUGAGUAUGGGUCAAACGGUGGUAGCAAUGUGUGGUUGAAUUGUUAGAAUAUUCGCGCUUAAUGGUCGGUCCUUUCCUUUAGAUAGGAAAAGUAAGCAAAGGUGAAGAUGGCCUAACGAUAGCCUUUCACUAAGGUUGUGAACCAUUUGCCGACCUAAAUUUAACUCGUGGUUAAAAGUGACAUUUCGAAAGUUAUUUCUUAUGUUCGAAAAUCCCUGUGCUGUCGAUCACCCGGUUUUCGAGCAGAACUCAGCCACGGUUGUCAACAUUUAGCUUCUUGUCUGUCAGAAAUAAACAACGCUCGGAUAGCAGGGUUAAUCGAUAAUUUUCCAUCUGUCAAAUUUGAACCAAAAGUUAAAAUAAUCCACCAAAUGGUUCAGAGCCUAAGUGGGCCCAACGAGCGAAAGUUCACUGUACUAGCGCAGUGUUGAACAGGAGACAGGAAAGACCAUCACCUUGUGGAAGAUCCGAUAUUUACACAGAGCACUGCAUCGUAGCCCUUCACCACAGACAAACAGACGUAACUCUUCAUAUGGCCAUGAAAAACCCUUUUUGAGAAAAGGGGGAAUACUAUUUAAGGAGAUUCCUUGAAGAACCCAAAAAUUACCGUCAUUAUGGAUGAUAUGCCCUAUCACUUCAAGUUUUCUAAGAGCACAUGUCUCUUUUUUCCCCUUGAUUUGUUUUCCGAACUGAGUACCAAUGCUACCGACGCCAGGGAGGUAUAGCUCCCGGUGUGGGAGCCGGUGUGGCUUUACUUUCCUUCCAAAGGAAUGUGUGAUCAGAGAUGUUAUGCCUAAGAAAAUUCCGAGUGAGAUGCAGUAAUGCUUACCACUACACCACCGGUGCCGCUGUAGCACACAUGUUGGUAACUGUUGCGACAUCGCUCAUGAAAUUGGAACUUCCUGUUUGCUUGCGCUGAUGCAAACGUGGAGUUCUAGUUACAUUGUUUUAAGUUAAAAGUUUGUGUUUGUUUUGAUUCGUCUUAUAAAUUUGACAGAAUUUAAGGGGCGGUUCGUGGAUUUUCCUAUGUAUCGAGGAGUGCUUCAAUUAGCUUGAGACCGAGGUCUGGUACUUUUUUUCCCUUGAUUUGUUUUUCGUCGAUCUUGUUUUCCGUACUGAGUUCCUAUGCUACGGACGCCAGGAAGGCAGCUCCCACACCUGGAUCCUACCUAUCGACCCAUUAACUCGUAGACCGGAGACCAACGGGUUUUCUUCCCAAAUCCCGACGGUGCCGACUGGGAUUGACUCCAGGCCCUUUGGAGUAAGGUCUGGUACUUCCUGAGCCAAAAGAUUGAGCAUGUUUCCGCGUUGGGACCCCGUUGUCUUAAUGUUAGUCUAUGGUAACAGUGUGCAAGCGUUUUUGUAGCGAAUGGUUCAACGGGUUCAACAUGCCGACGCAACGGUUAUGAGUGGCGCUGAUUACCUGACGCUCAAAUCUGCCAGAAGUGGACGGGUCUGUUAUUUGCGCUUGCCUUCAAGUUUAAUUUGGUUUCGUGGCCCACACUUGUGAAAGGAUAUACAGGUUAGACUUGAUUAUUAAAAUGUCUAUGGAAGACUUAAGAAGCAAACUAGAAUUCAAGACCAACAAUUGAAAUGGCCUUAACUCCAUUUUGUAAACAAACCUUGUAAGGCCAUUUUCUCGCGAACCAAUGGCCGUAUUAGAUGCUAGGUGAACUUUUUUUUUUCAUCGAACUGUAUGUUGAAAUUAGCUGGAAUAAUGUCUAUACAUGGCCGUGGGGAAACAACGAGAAUAUCGACGAAGAGAAUAUGUCAAUGAUACAUAAGACCAUUGUUCGGCUUCACCAUUGUUCAUCGUUUAUUGGCCCAUAUCAUACAUAUCAUACCUGACUGGGAAAGGACGUGUCCAGGCAAUUAGCUGUCCACUCAUUAAAUGGUGGUCAGCUUGCAUGAUACGAACAGUAAACAGGGGUACCACAAAAGUUCAAAUAAUGGACGCAGUGGUACAACCUCUAUGGUACAACUCCCGCAAAAAAAUUGUUCGGCUUGAUAUGUACAUGAGCAAAUCGAACAUUAUGGCCCCGAUUACGAGUGUCACUUCACGGUGAAACCGAAGUGAAGUGACCAGUUGUCACUCACGGCGAAGUGAUUGCCGUGUAAAUCAAAUGGGAAUCACUUCACCGUGAGUGACAAGUUGUCACUUCACCGUGAAGUGACAUCGGUAAUAAGGGCCUAUGUAUUUCUUUUGUCAGUCCCUGUGAUAGAGUCACCACACUAGACUGGGCCUACUUCAAGAUCGUAUGAUCAAACGGUAGUUUGGCAUAAGAAAUGCUGUUCGAAUAGUAUCGUCUUCGAACUGUCGUUGUUCAUUUAGAACUUCUAUACUGCCGCUAUUGGCACUGAUAUUCGAAUAUCGGCAGUAUACCGAUGAUUCCCAAUCCAUCGCUCCUAACACAGGGAACAAAUUCUGUUUGAGCCGCUCUUAAUCUUGCGAAUGGACGAAUCGACUCGAGAAAGCAUUUCACCCCUUUAGCGUGCUGUUUGAUUCGUGGGGUAGCUUGUGAGCUCUUGUGAGUACUGGCCCCAACGCUUGUAUGAAAAAGUUGUUUCGUCUUGAUUACAUAACGUGACCCCUUCACUCGUCAUUUGUAAAUGUAUUGCCACACAUUGCUUCCCAAUUGACCGAUACUUGCAAUCUUGUAAUAAAGGAGCUAAGCGAGACUUGAAAUUAUUUUAGCUUUCGUUUCGUUUUGGUUCCACUGGAAUCGCUACAGUUUCCUUAACUACACACACACACACACUCACACUAACUCAACCAACUUUCGUAUGCAAUCAUACCCAAAGUAACGUAACUGUUGUAAUUCUCAAAGCAUUCAACAUCACAACAAAAACAGGCAUAACAGUAUGUAAAUAUAAGUCAUUAGUAUAGUGAAAGACGACAAGCCAACCCUGUUCGGUAUAAUAUUAAUCCCAAAAUUAUGUUAUAAAUGGUCCCCUGGAUCAUAUACGUACCAGCCGAAAAUCGGGAUAAGCAUAAUAGACACUGCAGCAACACUUGUUUCAGUCAAAAGGACCCUCUCAAAUCAACACUUAUUUUCAAACACUAUUAUGCAAGCACCCGAGUCAGCGCGCCAUGCAAUAUUUGUAUAUUUGUUGGUUACUAUAUUAUAUAUGGUAUAUUUAUAUUUAAUUCCAAAGUAACGCUAAAGCAUAUUGUUACAAACACGCAUUGAACAACAACUCUCAUGAUGACAGGAAAACGAGAAGAAGUGUUUGUGUAUUUUGAAUGGUGUGUAAGUGUAGAACAACAGCUAUACAAGAAGUUAGGCAGGUAAGAAGACGUAUUAGAGGAAAGGAUCGGCUAAAGUAUUUACAAAACAAUAGAGCAGGAAACGGAGGCAUAUAAGAGAUUGGUUUGUCGCAUUAUUUUUCACACCACACACUCGUAAGUCGCAUCCAGUAAUAAUAAUUGUUAAGGGAAGUCCUAUAAGUACCUUACACGUAUAUUAGGUUUGUCGUCCGUUUUCGUGAUGGAAUGCGCCCAUACGCACUAGCUAAGUUCAGUCAGACUUUCGUUCUUAGGCAUCUAGGGAUGAUUUCUCCUAGCAAAAGUGAGAAAAAGCAAAACUAAUAAAAUUUAAGCAAAUAAUGAAUGCAA